rnacentral:lncRNA from 1 species
UGAAGAUCCAUGCCUUGAAUGUCCUCCAUUUUCAUAUCUUUCUGAUCCAAAUGUUUUGGUCGAGGUCUCAGUUAGUUGUGCUAUCAAUGUAUUCCAGAAACAUAGUUUUGUUAACGAUCUGGGGUUAGGAAGUUUGAUGGAGAUGGCAAUGAACGUGAACAAUGUUAAAGUUUUGAGCAUUUAAAUUAUGAACCUCUGCUCGUUUAUCUUGUUGCACUUGAUUGUCAUUUCUAAUUGUUCAACAUCUCUGCCUAGUCACUGCAAUUCCCUAUUGCAUAUCGAAUCGUUUGCCUGUUAUGUCAUAUGUUUGUGCUCU